rnacentral:rRNA from 1 species
UAGCCGUAAACGAUACUCGCUAGGUGUCGGCCACGGUGCGACCGUUGUCGGUGCCGUAGGGAAGCCGUGAAGCGAGCCACCUGGGAAGUACGGCCGCAAGGCUGAAACUUAAAGGAAUUGGCGGGGGAGCACCGCAACGGGUGGAGCUUGCGGUUUAAUUGGAUUCAACGCCGGAAAUCUUACCGGGACCGACAGCAACAUGAAGGCCAGGCUGAAGACUUUGCCGGAUUAGCUGAGAGGAGGUGCAUGGCGUAGACGUCU